UCUGUGUACGUGAUGACUGAACUUUUUUCCCCAGCAGAUCGAUAAUGUUGACUUUGAUCUUUUAUUAAAGCCAAAAUUUCUGAUGCACCAGU